rnacentral:rRNA from 1 species
UACGAAGGGGGCUAGCGUUGCUCGGAAUCACUGGGCGUAAAGCGCACGUAGGCGGACUCUUAAGUCGGUGGUGAAAUCCUGGAGCUCAACUCCAGAAUUGCCUUCGAUACUGUUAGGCUUGAGACCGGAAGAGGUAAGUGGAACUGCGAGUGUAGAGGUGAAAUUCGUAGAUAUUCGCAAGAACACCAGUGGCGAAGGCGGCUACUG